rnacentral:rRNA from 1 species
GACGAACGCUGGCGGCGUGCUUAACACAUGCAAGUCGAACGAAGUGGCGAACGGGUGAGUAACGCGUAAUCAACCUGCCCAUCAGAGGGGGACAACAGUUGGAAACGACUGCUAAUACCGCAUACUGAAGGAGGGGAUUGCGUCUGAUUAGCUAGUUGGGGGGGUAACGGCCCACCAAGGCGAUGAUCAGUAGCCGGUCUUAGGGGGUGAACGGCCACCUUGGGACUGGGACACAGCCCAAGCUCCUACUGGAGGCAGCAGGGGGGAAUCUUCCGCAAUGGACGGAAGUCUGACGGAGCAACGCCGCGUGGGUGAUGGCGGCCUUCGGGUUGUAAAGCUCUGUUAAUCGGGACGCGGUACCGGAAUAGAAAGCCACGGCUAACUACGUGCCAGCAGCCGCGGUAAUUC